GUGUAGCAGUGAAAUGCGUAGAGAUCAGGAGGAACAUCUACAUUGGCGAAGGCAGCUACCUGGACCAACACUGACACUGAGGCACGAAAGCGACCURGGGGAGCAAACAGGAUUAGAUACCCUGGUAGUCCACGCCCUAAACGAUGCGAACUGGAUGUUG
rnacentral:rRNA from 1 species